rnacentral:tRNA from 1 species
UGCGGCUUAACUCAAUCGGUAGAGUAAUGCAUCAACGCGACCUUCUGGUCGCGCUCGGUACGGCAUGAUGUUAACGCCUGACGAGAGUGCAGGUUCGAAUCCAGCAGCCGCAA